rnacentral:tRNA from 1 species
UUUUAGAAUGGGGUGUAGUUGGUAGCACGGAGAAUUUUGGAUUCUUAAGUAUAGGUUCAAUUCCUAUUGUUCUAG